rnacentral:misc_RNA from 1 species
GAAAUGCGAUAAGUAAUGUGAAUUGCAGAAUUCAGUGAAUCAUCGAAUCUUUGAACGCACAUUGCGCCCCCUGGCAUUCCGGGGGGCAUGCCUGUUCGAGCGUCUCAUCGACGCACUCACAGAGGCUGUGGUCAUGGCGGCGGUGGCGGGCCGCAAGGUGGCUGCCACCCCGCUGGAAUUCAUAGGCGGACGCCUGCAGCGUGGCCGAGCGUGAUAGGACACAAAUUCGCCCGCUCGCCAGGACGCCAGUCCGGCCCCGAGCCCCGAGCCGGGCAGCAACAACGACAAUGCACUCCUCGAAUCAGGUAGGGAUACCCGCUGAACUUAA